rnacentral:rRNA from 1 species
AUUGAACGCUGGCGGCAUGCUUUACACAUGCAAGUCGAACGGCAGCGCGGGCUUCGGCCUGGCGGCGAGUGGCGAACGGGUGAGUAAUGCAUCGGAACGUGCCCAGUAGUGGGGGAUAGCCCGGCGAAAGCCGGAUUAAUACCGCAUACGACCUGAGGGUGAAAGCGGGGGACCGAAAGGCCUCGCGCUAUUGGAGCGGCCGAUGUCGGAUUAGCGAGUUGGUGGGGUAAAGGCUUACCAAGGCGACGAUCCGUAGCUGGUCGGAGAGGACGACCAGCCACACUGGGACUGAGACACGGCCCAGAGUCCGACGGGAGGCAGCAGUGGGGAAUUUUGGACAAUGGGGGCAACCCUGAUCCAGCCAUGCCGCGUGCGGGAAGAAGGCCUUCGGGUUGGAAACCGCUUUUGUUCGGGAAGAAAUCCUCUGGGCUAAUACCCCGGGGGGAUGACGAUACCGGAAGAAUAAGCACCGGCUAACUACGUG